CCUAUAGCUCAGUUGGUCAGAGCAGCGGACUCAUAAUCCGUUGGUCCUUGGUUCAAGCCCAAGU
rnacentral:tRNA from 1 species